AUGGUGAUUGUGCCAGGUUUGUGCUCUGGCUCUUCUGUUGGGUUUUUCCAUGGUUGUAUAUGGCAUAUUGGCGUUAUCAGGAGUUGUGGUUCUGGAUUUGUUCGCUGCUCUAUAGAUCUAUUAUUUGAAGAACUGAUGAUAUACAGUGCUUGUCAAGUAUGGGUGGCAAGCUUGACAAUUUGUUUUUAUCUCUAUGAUCUCCUCAUGACCACAACCAUAGUGCAGGAUGCUGCUGCCCAAGUUGUCGUUUAUCUUUGGGUAUUCCUUAAUGUUGGGGUUACUACAUAUCCAAAUCACUAG
rnacentral:rRNA from 1 species